AGUGAACGCUGGCGGUAGGCCUAACACAUGCAAGUCGAACGGCAGCACAGUAAGAGCUUUCUCUUACGGGUGGCGAGUGGCGGACGUGUGAGGAAUACAUCGGAAUCUACUUUUUCGUGGGGGAUAACGUAGGGAAACUUACGCUAAUACCACAUACGACCUACGGGUGAAAGCAGGCGAUCUUCGGGCCGCGCGCGAUGGGAUGAGCCGAUGUCGGAUUAGCUAGUUGGCGGGGUAACGGCCCACCAAGGCGGCGGUCGGUAGCUGGGCGGAGAGGACGGACAGGCACACGGGGACGGAGACACGGCCCCGACGCCGACGGGAGGGAGCAGCAAGGAAUUUGCCGCAAUGGGCGAAAGACUGACGGAGCAACGCCGCGUGGGGGAGGACGCCGUUCGGGGUGUAACCCCCUUUUCUUGAGGACGACGACCGACGGUAGCCGAGGAAGAAGGACCGGCUGACUACGUG
rnacentral:rRNA from 1 species